rnacentral:miRNA from 1 species
UUAUAUUAGGUUGAUGCAAAAGUAAUUGUGUUUUUUUUCCAUUACUUUUAAUGGCAAAAACUGCAAUAACUUCUGCACCAGCCUAAUACAUUU